rnacentral:rRNA from 1 species
GUAGGGUGCAAGCGUUAAUCGGAAUUACUGGGCGUAAAGCGUGCGCAGGCGGUUUUGUAAGUUUGUCGUGAAAUCCCCGGGCUCAACCUGGGAAUUGCGAUGAAGACUGCAAGGCUAGAAUCUGGCAGAGGGGGGUAGAAUUCCACGUGUAGCAGUGAAAUGCGUAGAGAUGUGGAGGAACACCGAUGGCGAAGGCAGCCCCCUGGGUCAAGAUUGACGCUCAUGCACGAAAGCGUGGGGAGCAAACAGGAUUAGAUACCCUGGUAGUCCACGCCCUAAACGAUGUCUACUAGUUGUCGGGUUUUAAUUAACUUGGUAACGCAGCUAACGCGUGAAGUAGACCGCCUGGGGAGUACGGUCGCAAGAUUA